CCUACGUGAGGCAGCAGUGAGGAAUAUUGGUCAAUGGGCUUACGCCUGAACCAGCCAAGUCGCGUGAGGGAAGACUGCCCUAUGGGUUGUAAACCUCUUUUGUCAGGGAGCAACGCCGGCUACGUGUAGCCGGACUGAGAGUACCUGAAGAAAAAGCAUCGGCUAACUCCGUGCCAGCAGCCGCGGUAAUACGGAGGAUGCGAGCGUUAUACGGAUUUAUUGGGUUUAAAGGGUGCGUAGGCGGAAUGCCAAGUCAGCGGUAAAAUCGCGGGGCUCAACCUCGCUCCGCCGUUGACACUGGCGUUCUUGAGUGGGCGAGAAGUAUGCGGAAUGCGUGGUGUAGCGGUGAAAUGCAUAGAUAUCACGCAGAACUCCGAUUGCGAAGGCAGCAUACCGGCGCCCAACUGACGCUGAAGCACGAAAGCGUGGGUAUCGAACAGGAUUAGAUACCCUGGUAGUC
rnacentral:rRNA from 1 species